UGCGACAGAAUUUUAUCCUUGGAUCGGAUUGACUGAAGUGGGACGGUGAUGGCAGGACAUGCAAGAAAAGUCUCCGACCGAAGGUGGCUCCAGCGGAGAUCCUUCGAUACUUAAAUUAGAAUUCUGGACAAUAGAGGAAAGGAGUAAGCGUAUUAGAAGAGAGGAGUUUUUAUACCUUAGAGAUCCCUUAUGGGCCUUUAUUUAUAGGC
rnacentral:lncRNA from 1 species